GCAGUAAGCACUGCUGGCUGCCCACCCAACCGCCCUUACCCCCUUUUUUGCUCCUGGAACUCUUGUGUCACAGGCCAAUCCUGAUGAGUCUACGUUGGUGAAGUGUGAGCCUCCCAUUCUCCUUGCCAGUGAUUGGCUUACAGGUUCCCUUCAAAUUAAGUCAUCUCUUCUUCAAGGCUCAGUCAUAUAAAUUUCAAAGGACACGUGGCCAUGCUCCAUACCAGCUGCUCUGAGAACCAGUCCUGGAUGGCAUCAGUUGGGAUUGUUGACAGACUUGAAAAUUACCCGGAUGACAUCUGAGGAAGGGAAUGACUAAGAGAAGGAUUCUAGAUGCAAAGCACUUCAUAAAAACACAUUUCUCCGACUAGCCCAUGAUCCCAGAGUCAGUCCUGAAGCCCAUGCUUUCUGUGAUCGAGGCUUCAUUAUCCUAGGAAUUGAUGGGACAACUGUUGAUAAACAAACCCAUGAAUCGCCUCCAACCCUUUAAGCCCAUCACUUUGACCUCCUCAUUGGGGCGCUCUGCCAAGCUUUGAACCAGGAGCUCACCGGUGGAUUUGUGACUCAUCUCCCAAAUGCUCCCUGAAGAGCUGCAAAUAAACAGUGGAUUGGCCAACAGACACGCAGCAGGGGAGAGUAGAGACGCCUCCAGAGGACCCGAGGGAGCUGAUGGGAGGGUGUGGGGCUGACUCCAUGUACUCCAGAACCAGACACGGCAAUCACAGCAGACUAGUUCCAAUCACCUGAGCUUUGCAGUAUUUCAAAUACCUCCCCCAAAAGGCUUUAGCAAACUCAGUAGUGCCACGUUGGCACCAGGGAAAGCAACACUCCUGUCACUAAGGGGCUGGGAUGUGAUCUGGAGUCACUUUGGGCAGGCUCAGAAGGUCGUGACACCACCACAAAUGAGGCCAGCCAGUGCCGUCUGGUUCAGAUACUGGCUGAGAGCAAUCCUCAAUUUUCCUCUAGUUCCUUGCUGGGGAUUCUAGCCCGUGUUGCUCUAGAACAGUGGUUCUCUUCUGAGGACGAUUCUGCCCCCAGUCUCCCACCAGGGGGACAUUUGGCAAUGUUUGGAGACAUUUUUGAUGGUCACAGCUUGAAGGAGGAUGAUAGUGGCAUCUCAUGGGUAGAUCCCGGGAUGCUGCUAGUCUCCUACAGCGCACAGGGCAGCCCCUGCAACAAAUUAUUCAGCCUCAAAUGCCAACAGCGCUGAGGCUGAGAAACUCUGGUCUAGAAUCAGGGCACUUGAAACCUCCUGGGCAUCCAAUCUGGAAUCAUGACCCCUAAGCACCUGAGGGAAGCUAUGGACUCUGUCCCUAGGGACAAAAAAAUACUACAUAUAUAUUAAUAUACGCAUACGCAGACAAAGCUUUGCAGCUUUGCAGGAGGAUUCAUCAACCCCUGGUGUCCACUCAUGAAUACCCCUCAAUCCCAGACACCCAAGGAUAUUGAGAUAGGGUACUCUUAGGGGACAGUCUAUUUUUUAUCCUUACAAAUAAAAUGCUGUGUCAAGACCAGCGAUAUGAGGCCUGCUUAUGGCAUACAUAACUGGGACACAGCAUGCUCAAAGGCAUAGGUCAGGAAAAUCCCACACAAUCGGAGACAGGGCUGGGCUUACCAUGCCAGAGCCUUUCCUUGCCUUCUCCAGCUCUUGGAAAAAGUUUUCUAGCUCUUUACCUUCAAUAUACCCAUUUCCUGUAAAAAGAGAGAGAAAAAAUCAAUCUCAGCACUAAAUAGUAAGGGGGGCACGGGGUGGGCAUGUCGGGGGCUUCGUGGAGAAUGUCUUCUCCCAGCUGGCCAACAGGCAGGUGUCUAGGCCAGUGGAGCUAGGGGUGUGGGUCCAGCCCUCAGGGCAUUUGCACCUAGAGAUCCAAGAUGAACAACAUACAUUCAGCAGCUAGAAAAUACUGGGAGGAACUAGCACAGGGUCCGAGAGGACAGAGGAGAGCAGAAGUUGGCAGCUUCCGAAUCUGUCCUUAAUGUCUGGGCAAGCACGAGGUGGCAGAGGUGUGACAGGUCAUCAGCAAGUGGCGGGACCUGGUCAGAGGCAGAACUGGGGUCCCUGGAGUUCAGAAGGUGUAGCGGGUUGGAGUGCUCCCCCAGAAUGGGACCUUAUUUGGAAACAGGGUCAUUGCAGAUGUCAUUAGUUAAGAUGAGUCAUACUGGAUUGGGGUGGGCCCUAAAUCCAGUGGUCGGUGUCCUUGUAAGAAGGCUUCAUGGAGACACAGAGACCCAGGAAGAAGACCAUGUGAAGAUGGAGGCAGAGGCCAGUGUGAUGUGUGUACAAGCCAAGGAACGCUGUGGGCUGCCAGCAACCACUAGAAGCCAGGAGGGAGGCAGGGAGCAGAUUCACCCUCAGAGCUCUAGCAGAGCCUGCCGACACAUUUAUUUCACACUUCUAGCCUCUAGAAAUGUGAGAGAAUACAUUUCUGUUGUGUUAAGUCACCCAGUUUGUAGUGCCUUGCUAUAACAGUCCUAGGAAACAAAAACAGAAGGGCCCAGAAAAGAGAGAACCACAGGGCAUCUGUCCUAUGGGAUGUCACCUCCCACCCCCUGCCCUACCUGAGACUUGGUCACAGGGAUCAAGGGUAGGAGAGGCAUCCCACCUGGUAAUGAAGAGAGGAGGCUCUGAGGCCUGUGGAUGCAGAUUUAAAGACUGGUUCUGCUGUGCUUACCAACAGUGUGACUUUGAGACAGUUAUUGAACCCAUCUCAUCUGCAAAGUGGGUUAUUAUAAUUAAACAGGAUUUUGUGUGGAAAGCCCAUCCUCUAGUCAUUAUGAGUGCAGCAUAAAUGUUGUUACUGAGUUCCAUUACCAGAA
rnacentral:lncRNA from 1 species